UUUUUAAUGCAGUAUGGUAGCUAACGCGUUAAGUAUCCCGCCUGGGGAGUACGGUCGCAAGACUGAAACUCAAAGGAAUUGACGGGGGCCCGCACAAGCGGUGGAGCAUGUGGUUUAAUUCGAUGCAACGCGAAGAACCUUACCAAGGCUUGACAUACUACAGCUUUCUUUGAAAGAGGAAAGUGCCUUCGGGAAUGUAGAUACAGGUGGUGCAUGGCUGUCGUCAGCUCGUGUCGUGAGAUGUUGGGUUAAGUCCCGCAACGAGCGCAACCCUUAUUUUUAGUUACUAACUUGUUAGGUUUUCUAGAAAGACUGCCGGUGACAAACCGGAGGAAGGUGAGGAUGACGUCAAGUCAGCAUGCCCCUUAUGUCCUGGGCUACACACGUGCUACAAUGGUUAAGACAAAGAGUUGCGAGCUCGCGAGAGUCAGCUAAUCUCAUAAACUUAGCCUAAGUUCAGAUUGUAGGCUGCAACUCGCCUACAUGAAGUUGGAAUCGCUAGUAAUCGCUGGUCAGCCAUACAGCGGUGAAUCCGUUCCCGGGCCUUGUACACACCGCCCGUCACACCAUGGGAGCUGGUCAUACCCGAAACCGUUUGCUUAACCUUUCGGAGAGCGGCGUCUAAGGUAGGGCUAGUGACUGGGGUGAAGUCGUAACAAGGUAACCGUACUGGAAGGUGCGGUUG
rnacentral:rRNA from 1 species